UACGGAGGGUGCGAGCGUUGUCCGGAAUCACUGGGCGUAAAGGGCGCGUAGGUGGCGCGGGCAGUCAACGGUGAAAGUUCGGGGCUCAACCCUGAAUCGGCCGUCGAUACUCCCGAGCUCGAGCACUGUAGAGGCAGAUGGAAUUCCGGGUGUAGCGGUGGAAUGCGUAGAGAUCCGGAAGAACACCGGUGGCGAAGGCAGGUCUCUGGGCCACUACUGACGCUGAGAAGCGAAAGCAUGGGGAGCGAACAGG
rnacentral:rRNA from 1 species